UGAUCUGGAGAAGAUUUUGUGUUCUCUGGUGGUGGAGACCAAUUUGCAGGCUCAAAAGUUUCUUCUUUGCCUUCUCUUGCUGAUUGGAUCUCAGUGUGAUGGUACAAAUGAGUUUUCAAGCUUCCCAGGAAUUGAUCAUAGAUUUCCAUUUGCCAAACUGACUAAAGUGCAAAAGCCUGAGUCAGAAGCCGAAGAUGCCGGUGAAGCUGAUGAAACUGAAAGUGAUGACAAUGACGAUGGUGAGGAGGAGGAAGAUGACUCUGGAGAAGAAGAAAG